GUGUCUUCAUCAGGGGUGAUCUAAAGUUACAAUCGUGGCUUCUUAAUUGACGUCAUCCAUUGGGUAUUUAAGAAGCCAUGAUUGUAACUUUAGAUCACCCCUGAUGAAGACAU